GCUCCGGCAGCCAAUGGGAAUGAGAAGAAAUGGUGCGGUGGCUGGUUUUGCCCAGGAGGGUGUUGCAUCUGGUUAUAAAGCUGGUUGUGUUGCCUUCUUAUCACACAUAGAAGUCCCACCUGCAGGAGACAUUCACACAGUUCACCUCUACAGCAGGGUUGGAAAAAAAAGCUUGCAAAAAUGAGCGACAACAAGAAAGUCAAUCAGGAAGUGGAGAAGUUUAACAAGGAAAAACUGAGGAGGACUUCCACUUCGGAGAAAAACCGACUUCCAACUGCAGCUGAGAUUGCAGCGGAAAAGAAAGCGUUGAAAGAGGGGGCGAAAUGAAUCACUGCAUCUUUAAUCCCGGCUUCUCCUCCUCCACUAAUGUGAUCUCAGUCCAUCUUCUGCCUCUGUCACCAUGUGCCACCAUACAGAAUUAUACUGUCUCUAACCCAAUGGCAUUUUUUUAUUUUUUAUUUUUUACUCGGUUUAGAAAUGAACAGACAAAAGUGUUUUUGCACAGUUCAAGAUAAAAAUAACCUGAGCAUUUUGUAUUAAUUGAAUUUGGUGUCAUGUCUAUAUAGUACAAUUUGGAAAUAUUGUGCAAAAUGGAAUCAAAUUUAUAUUUUUGUAACUUUUUAAGAAAUAUACUAAAUGUGUCAACAUUGACCUCAUUUACAUUUCUUCAUUAAAUUCCCAAUGUUGUGACAAA